CAGGAAGGUAGACUUAUUCUAAUGAGGUGAUGGCACGCGCAGCGGAGAAUUACAUGCGUAUAUCAGACGGUCACUUGAUGCUUGCCGAAACAAAUAGCUUCUGGCUCAACGGCUUCUGUUUCACUCGAGCUUUGAAUCAGAAUUAGGCCUUUUUCAAAACCUCCCACACCACGCCGCCGCCGCCACCGCAACAUUAGGCCUCCACCUCCGUUGCCUGCCAGCCGGUUGUCCUACUACAAAUGCAUGACACAAAAAUCAGUUCCAGGAGCAUAGCAUAGCUUUUGUUUGGACGACAAGCAAGAAACAAACCCAUUGCUUCAUGAGCUCUUCCUAAAUAUGAAGUGGCUAAAGGUAGUAUUUCACUGCAAAGACAAGAAGCACAGAUGGAGAGAUUUGUUUGUAGAUCCAUUGAGAGGAUCAAAUUAUGAUGAUGAGUGAUUUGUCAAUUAAUCCAUGUGUAGUAGAUAAAAUGCAUGUAAUUUUUUUGGAUGAAUGUACAUUUCGUUCCUGCAACGAUUUUAUCAUGCAUGAUUUGUAAUGGUUCAAAGAUGAUAUUGUUUUGAAAUAAAUAUUGAAUUGUGAAGUCAAGUGUUA